rnacentral:rRNA from 1 species
GUAUCGGAACGUGCCCAGUCGUGGGGGGUAACUGCUCGAAAGAGCAGCUAAUACCGCAUACGACCUGAGGGUGAAAGCGGGGGAUCGCAAGACCUCGCGCGAUUGGAGCGGCCGAUAUCAGAUUAGGUAGUUGGUGAGGUAAAGGCUCACCAAGCCGACGAUCUGUAGCUGGUCUGAGAGGACGACCAGCCACACUGGGACUGAGACACGGCCCAG